UACACGCCGUUUGUCUCUCUUGUCUCUCUCAUGGCGAUUUCUGGUGAACAAGAGCAUCUUCGGCCUAAUCCCGCGAUUUCCGGUGAACAGGAGCAUCUUCGGCUUAAUCCCUGCCAAUGCUCGUUGUCCAGGAAAAGAGUGGUUAUUUCAAAGAUAAAGCGAGGCUCCAAGGCUCCCUCAGCACCCUCAAGGAGCACGAUGACAAGCGCCAGCUCACAAUUCUCGCCGGAAUCGAUCUGCCUCUCGGUGGAACCGGUCGCCCUGACAUCCUAGGGUUGUAUUAUGCGAAAAUUGGAAUUGGAACACCUGCGAAGAGCUAUAUUACGUUCAACUCGACACAGGGAGUGAUAUCAUGUGGGUUAACUGUAUCCAGUGCAAACAGUGUCCAAAACGAAGCAAUCUUGGUAUCGAGCUGAUACUCUACGACAUUGAGGAAUCAGAGAGCGCGAAGUUGGUUUCUUGCGAUGAAGACUUUUGCUUCUAGAUUAGUGGUGGUCCUCUCUCAGAUUGAGGAAUCGGAGAGCGCGAAAGAUUCAUUCCUCUGUUAUUAUUAAUUUGUUUAGUGAUAAACACUAUUUAGAGAGAGUUUGCACCAGCAAUAUGAACUGGUGAAGAAGAGGACGGCAGGAACUGUUUCGACGCAUGGUUCUCAUGUGAUGGAGUUUGGAGAUAUAGGACUACUAAGCAAAGAGAAGCUCGUCCUUUACUUGGGUACAAAUCCAGUCAAUGAUCAUUAUCACGCAUGAACCCAGCUGGCUUCUUGAUUGGUACUGGAGCAGCGAUACAGGGAAGAACAUGAGCUGAGUUUUUCCCUGAUAAAACUGAAGUUCAAUGCAUGCAUCGGUGGCAGAAAGUUUUGGAUCCAAACCUUACCAAGGGACCUUGAACACAUCAGGAGGAUGAGACCCUUUCCGAAGGUAGUGCUAAUCAACCUAGUGAAGAUGUUCAAGUCAGUGCAAAGACAUGCAAGUCAGGCCCUGACAUUUGUGAAAUUAUAUGGUAGAUUGGUAGGUAGAAGUUAAAAAGAUAUUUAUUUGCAUGCUCUAUGGUAGAUUGUUAUAUGGUAGAUUGCCUUUGUAUAUGUGAUAAGUCAGAGUUUCUUGGUUGGGAACUCCCUCUCAUGGUCAAAGACUUCCGUCAACGUGUCUUUGGUGACCAGAAGGAAGGCUCCUCCAUGGCUACAACCACCACCAAAACAAGGGCACUGCUUGCAGCUACAAUGUGGAGAGGAGAGAGCUUCUUUUUGUAAAAUUUAUUUUGUUUUUGUUUUUUUUUAUUAUGAUAUUAUAUUCUGUGUAACUUAGAGUAAGAGUUUGGUACCUUUACUACUUAUUCAUGGACCACACUACAGUCUAAGAAAACCCUUUUUGUCUUUUGCAAUUACAAAGUUCAGUAGCAACUAGUUAAGAGUAAAACAACA